rnacentral:lncRNA from 1 species
AGCGCCUCGCUGCACAACUUCAGCCUGGCGAAUAUGUACUCGGUGAUUCUGGCUAUCCUUUGGAGCCAUGGCUGAUGAUACCAGUUCCUGGCCAUCCACGCGGUGUCUCCCCCGAAUGCCUCUACAACAAAGAGCUCUCCUCCAUGCGCCAUGUUGUGGAAAGGUGUAUCGGAAUGCUGAAGAGCAGGUUCCGCUGCUUGCAGCGCUACAGAACUUUGUUCUACAGCCCCGACCGAGCAGGGGCAAUUGUUUCAGCCUGUGCUUCUCUCCACAACAUUGCCUUGGAGGAAGGCGAGCCGGUGUUCGACGAGGACGUCGACAGCGGGGAAAUGCCAGGCCAGGACGAUGCAGAGCUGCCACAAGCCUCGCAGGCGCUGCCGUCGUUGCAGGAGAUCUACCUCAGGGGCAGGCAGCAGCGCGAUGCCGUCGUCAGCCUUUUCUAAUGUUUCCAAGAUAUGCCUGGCGACAGCACACCACCAGCAGCACAGGACUGGACCCUGGAGGCUGUCCCUGCCCCUGAGCUCUGCGAGAAUGGCCUCCUGCGCAUCAGCCGCCCUUUCCGCAGCCUCCGCCGUUCGCCGCAGCAGGGCCGUGUUCCGUUCCGCGGCUAUGGCGAGUCCGCUCCAUUGAAGAGCGCAUG